AGAUGUUUCCCAUGUGACUGGCUUGCCCAAAAGGAGGAUGUCCGAAAAAGAGUGUGUGCCAGGCCCUUUCUCCCUCAAUCUCAAUCAAAAUCAUCUCGUGUCUACAGGUGUUGUGGCUAGAAGCUUCAGAUGAAAACGAACUCUGGAAAAAUGAAGCAACAUCAUUUUGCAAUAAACUCAUAAUGUUAAUUGCACUCUGGAACAGAUGGAGUGCCUUCGUCAAGGACCUCAGUGCACCUUACAAAUGUCUUGAGUCAUCAAAGCCCUUCUCUAAUGGAGGAUUUUGGGAAACCUGGAUAUUUUCCUACCCAGCAGUAAUGUCAUGAGUCACAUUUUUAUGAAGAAUGUUAGGGU